rnacentral:rRNA from 1 species
UGCCGCCUACGGGGCGCAGCAGUAGGGAAUAUUGCACAAUGGGGGGAACCCUGAUGCAGCGACGCCGCGUGGGUGAAGGAGUAUUUCGGUAUGUAAAGCCCUAUCGGCAGGGAAGAAGCAAGACGGUACCUGACUAAGAAGCCCCGGCUAACUACGUGCCAGCAGCCGCGGUAAUACGUAGGGGGCGAGCGUUAUCCGGAUUCACUGGGUGUAAAGGGAGCGUAGACGGCCAUGCAAGCCAGGGGUGAAAGCCCGGGGCCCAACCCCGGGACUGCCCUUGGACCUGCAUGGCUGGAGGGCGGGCG